GGGGUUGUAGCUCAGUGGUAGAGCACUUGCCUCAUGUGGAAGGCACUGGAUUCAAUCCUCAGCACUACA
rnacentral:tRNA from 1 species